UGUUUGUAAUUACCGCAUUUCUAAGUUUGAGUGGCCUGCCGUUGACCGGUGCUGAUGGAGGAGCCCAUUGGGGUUAUCCCGACUAUAGCGAAAAUGAAGAAUUUCCAAAAUGGGGAGGAGUUUGUGAUAGCGGCACCCGGCAAUCGCCCAUCAAUUUAAGUCUGAGAGGUGCCAUUAAAGGUGUCUAUGAGAAAUUGGAGGGAGAUAAUCAUGAUAAGACCAUUACCGA